rnacentral:tRNA from 1 species
UGGGGCUGUGGCGCAGUUGGGAGCGCGUCUGCAUGGCAUGCAGAAGGUCAAGGGUUCGAAUCCCUUCAGCUCCAUCC